GCCUAAAGCGUCCGUAGCCUGUUUGGAAAAUCUUUUGUGAAAUUGUUAGACUUCAUCUAACAAAUGGCAAAAGACACUUCCAGACUUGAGACUGGGAAGAGACAGAGGUAUUCCUUGGGAAGCGGUAAAAUGUUUUAAUCCUUGGAGGACCACCAAUGGCGUAAACUUUUGAAAAAGUUUAAUCAAAAGUUUCCAUAAAAGGCAUCUGUCUAGAACAGGUUUGACGGUCAGGGACGAAAGCUAGGAGAACGAUCGGGAUUAGAUACCCCAGUAGCCCUAGCUGUAAACGCUGCGAGCUAUGUGUUGCAUAAUCUCCGAGAUUAUGCAGUGCCGGAGCGAAGGUGUUAAGCUCGCCGCCUGGGAAGUACGGCCGCAAGACUGAAACUUUAAGGAAUUGGCGGGGGCGCACUACAAGGAGUGCGGCGUGCGGUUUAAUCUAAUUACACACAGAAAAUCUUACCAGCAGCGACGGCAGGAUGAAGGUCAGGCUGAAGGUCUUACCUAACGAGCCGAGAGGUGCUGCAUGGCCGACGUCAGUUCGUGCCGCAAGGUGUCACGUUAAGUCGUGUAACGAACAAGACCUAUGUCUAUAGUUGCUACCAACUCAUCUUGAGAUUUGGGCACACUAUAGGGACUGCCUUGGUAACAAGGAGGAAGGUGUAGGCAACGUUAGGUCAGUAUGCCCCGAA
rnacentral:rRNA from 1 species